CAGAUUCGCACAAACGAUGCGCACGUUUACUUUUCAUAACUGCGGCUCUAAUUCGAAUUGAAUUAAAUUAGUGGUCGGCAAGAGAAUCUAUAAUGGAGGAUCCUACAGACACAAUUAUAGCUGUGGGCUUUGCAGGAAUGUAAGCACCUGAAUUCGGGAGCUUACCGCGUUUAAGUGAGAAAGUUGGAACAAAACUUCAAAGAUGGCGUCGUUUGUUUGGUUUUCUUGAAGGAAGAGAGGAUAGUUUCACCCGAUGAUGAAGGUUAAAGGGCGAUAAUAAGUGCAUCUUUCGUUGCAGUAUAAAAUUAUGUAAUUAGGAAUUUAAAAUUAGCGGAGGACUGGGAUACCAUUCUCCAUUCAUAGACCACAUGAGUUUAAAUGUAGAAUAUGCAAGAGAGAGUCCUUCAACAGAGCCGGACUAAAAAGCAAAUAAAACAAACGAACCUAACACAAAAUGUACAGCUGAUGUAUUAAGUUUUUUUGUUUUUGUUUUUUAUUAUUUCUACAUAGACAAGUCUGACAUAUAAUUACUAUGAGUGCUACUUAAUUACACGUUUUGUUCCGUAUAUGUCAUGAUGCUAGUUUCUCACUUUUUUAUGAAAAUAAACCAUUAUCUGUGUUA